rnacentral:rRNA from 1 species
AAUAUGAAGGUCAGGCUGAAGACCUUACCCGAUUAGCUGAGAGGUGGUGCAUGGCCGUCGUCAGUUCGUACUGUGAAGCAUCCUGUUAAGUCAGGCAACGAGCGAGACCCACGCCCACAGUUGCCAGCGUACUCUCUGGAGUGACGGGUACACUGUGGGGACCGCCGCUGCUAAAGCGGAGGAAGGAAUGGGCAACGGUAGGUCAGUAUGCCCCGAAUAUCCCGGGCUACACGCGAGCUACAAUGGUUGGUACAAUGGGUAUCUACCCCGAAAGGGGACGGGAAUCUCCUAAAACCAAUCUUAGUUCGGAUUGAGGGCUGCAACUCGCCCUCAUGAAGCUGGAAUCCGUAGUAAUCGCGUUUCAACAGAACGCGGUGAAUACGUCCCUGCUCCUU